rnacentral:lncRNA from 1 species
CUUCUUUUUUCCUCAACGAGGAUAUAUUUCAUAAAUUAAUAGUAAAUAAAAUAAUUACAGAGCAUCAAUAAUUCCUACAACUUGGUAUUAAAACAAGCAAGAUUCUAUAAAUGUUUUGUAUACAUAAAUAUUAGAUUAUUUACAUAUCUUUGACUAUAGAGAUUAUUAGACUUGUGGAAAGAGUUCUUAAGUUGUAUCUAAUUUUUGUGUCUCUUGCAAAGUACAAAAACAUUUUAGUCAUCCAAUUUGCAUCUCAAUUGCAAAAUAUUACUUUCUUUUUAUUAAAUUGCUUAUAUUGUUUUGUAUGUAACUUUCAAAUACAUUCUUUUAUUAUCAAAGAAGCUUAAUUAUAUUACUCUUUUAAUAUUGAUAUUAUUCUAUUUUUAUCUAAAUAAAAAAUAUUUCAUUUAUAUCUAUCUCAUCUAUAAAUAUAUGUUUUAGAAGAAAUACCAAAUUCUUUUUAACCUUCUAAAUACAAAAUGAAUGUCUUUUAAAAAAAAAUGAUUGGUAUACAAAUGCUUUUUAAAGUCUCUAUUUUGUAGC